AAAUGCGGCCAUUUUUGGCGUUUAAUUUGUUAUAUUUUACAUUUGAAUAUCAAAUUUCUUUCAACUUUAAUCAUUUCAGCCAAGAAGAAAUGAGGCUUUCUGACACGAUGAACGGAACGCAGUAGAACUUGGACAAUUAGCAGUAAAAUCCUACUACGAUGCGCUGCCAUCAUUCAAAUUUAUGCACAAAAAAAACAUAAAACAAUCCCAUACAAUACAAAUUCCAUCAUUAACUAUAUAUGCAUUUUCAAUUGGUUGAUUGAUUCAAAAGUACACAAAUAAAAUUAAUUACAGUUAAUGGCAGCCACUCGACUCCUCAA